rnacentral:rRNA from 1 species
GGGUCAGUAGGUUGGUCGUGCCACUGGUAUGCACUGGCCUUACUGAUUCCUCCUUCUUGAAGAACUGUGAUGUCAUUUACUUGGUGUUGCAGGGAAACAGGACUGUUACUUUGAAAAAAUUAGAGUGUUUAAAGCAGGCUAACGCUUGAAUACAUUAGCAUGGAAUAAUGGAAUAGGGCUGCUGCCCCAUUUUGUUGGUUUCUGGGACCGUAGCA